UGGGAGGCAGAUACAUAAAUUGAGCUGAAAUGCUGCUCUAAUUGUCACGAUACCUCCCAAGAAUAAAUUGCCUUUUGAUGACCGGGACGAAUUGAGUGAAAUCGUAACGGACAGAUACGGGGCAGACAGUU
ensembl:scaRNA